CUUUACUCUUGCCAAGAUUGUUUAAUAAGUAACCCACACACGCUAACUGCUCUAGAAGCAAGCACCUAACUUAUUCCAGGAAACCCGACCUGCUAGUCCAACAGGCGCCCCCCUCUGGAGAAAUAGGGGCUACCCCAAGCCACCUGUUCUCGGGCAGAUGAAAACCAAAACAGUGCUCUGGCCGCAUCUGCCAUUUGGACUGCGUAGUCAUGGCUUGCUUUUUCUGCAUCGUGGCGAAAAAUUUGGGUCUUAAACUUGGAGCCUUAGGUGAAGUCAGAAGCCCACGAACAUUUCACAGCGGAUCACGACGCCACCAUUUCCAGGCAAAGUCUUUACCCUUCCCAGGGCCCUGCUGGUUUCCUUCACGCCGGCAGCAGCUUCUGGAGCCGGAGAAAAAGAGUGAGCUCCUCCAGCCAGAGCAGCGAUGCUUGCAGAUUCACGCGAGGGGUUUCUGACCAGCACGCGUGACUCCAGAUGCAGCGACCACGGCUCUGGUGCGGCCCCCACAUGCACCCAGCGCGCCGCGCAGCUCGCCCGGGCGCCACUGCAACUCACUGGCUCAGAGCGGAGUCCCCUGGUGGCCUUCUCUGGAAAGGCAGCUACGCGGGGGCAAGAGGAGUCGUGUUGCCUGUAGGAUCCUCUAAUCUCCACAAGAGCCUGAGACAAUGAGCAGUCUAAGUCUCUCAACUUUGAUCCGCUGCCCAAUGUAGGUAGAAAGAUGUCAGAGUAGAAAAGAUGCUGCUGCCCUGGUUGGUCUUUGUCAACUUGACACAACCUUGAUAUAUUUAGGAGGGAAUUUUGACUGAAAAAAAAAAAAACCUCAUAAAAUACCCUAUUAAUAAGUCUGUCCAGCAUUUUCUUGAUUAAUGACUGUGGGUUGUGCCAGUGUUGGGCAGGUAGUGCUGGUGGGUAUAAGAAAGCGCCUCGCGUGGAUCUACAAGCAUCGCUGCUCCGGCUGGAGGAGCUUACUCUUUAUCUCCUGUCCCAGAAGCUGUUGCCUGUGAGAAGGAAGCCAGCAGGGCCCUAGGUGGAAGGUUAAAAUCCCAUGAGAAGCAAGCCAGCCAGCAGCAUUCCUCCAUGGCGUCUGCUUCAGUUCCUGAUUCCAGGUAACUGCCUUGAGUUCCUGUUCUGACUUCCCUUUGCGGCGGACUGUGCAUAAACCACAUAAGCCCUUGCCUCCUCCAGUUGCUUCUGGUCAUGCUAUUUUAUCACAGCCAUAGACACCCCAACUGAAGUCCACAAGAGCUUUUUCCAAGGCAUCCAGAAAGGGCCAAACGACUUACACUUCUCCAAAAUGUUCUGCCAGUUGUAAAAUGCCGUGGACUGCCUGAAACACCUUGGAAAGCAGCAUUAAACCAAGACAAAAAUGCUUGGAAGUCGUAACUACCUCGCCG
rnacentral:lncRNA from 1 species